UGGUGUCUUCCACCUAUCGGUCUU
rnacentral:siRNA from 1 species